rnacentral:SRP_RNA from 1 species
GCCGGGUGCGGUGGCAUGUGCCUGUAAUCCAAGUCACUGGGAGGCUGAGGUUGGUGGAUCAAGUGAGCUGAGGAGCUCUGGGCUGCAGCACGCUAUGUCGAACGGGUGUCCACGCUAAGUUGGUAUCGAUAUGGUGUUCCUGGGGGAGCCCGGGACCACCAGGUUGUCUAAGGAGGGGUGAACCGGCCCAGGUCGGAAACGAAGCAGGUCAAAUCCCCUGUGCUGUCCAGUAGUGGGAUAAUACCUGUGAGUAGAUGCUGCAGUGCAGCCUUGGCAAAACAUCGAGACCUAAUCUUUU